rnacentral:rRNA from 1 species
GCUAAUACCGGAUAACAACAGAUGAUGCCUAUCAACUGUUUAAAAGAAUGGUUCUGCUAUCACUCUUGGAUGGACCUGCGGUGCAUUAGCUAGUUGGUAGGGUAACGGCCUACCAAGGCGAUGAUGCAUAGCCGAGUUGAGAGACUGAUCGGCCACAUUGGGACUGAGACACGGCCCAAACUCCUACGGGAGGCAGCAGNG